UACAGAGGGUGCAAGCGUUACUCGGAAUUACUGGGCGUAAAGCGCGCGUAGGUGGUUUGUUAAGUUGGAUGUGAAAGCCCCGGGCUCAACCUGGGAACUGCAUCCAAAACUGGCAAGCUAGAGUACGGUAGAGGGUGGUGGAAUUUCCUGUGUAGCGGUGAAAUGCGUAGAUAUAGGAAGGAACACCAGUGGCGAAGGCGACCACCUGGACUGAUACUGACACUGAGGUGCGAAAGUGUGGGGAGCGAACAGG
rnacentral:rRNA from 1 species